ACGACUCUUGGCAACGGAUAUCUAGGCUCUCGCAUCGAUGAAGAACGUAGCGAAAUGCGAUACGUGGUGUGAAUUGCAGAAUCCCGCGAACCAUCGAAUCUUCGAACGCAAGUUGCGCCCGAGGCCAUCGGGCCGAGGGCACGCCUGCCUGGGCGUCAUGCU
rnacentral:rRNA from 1 species